UCUCUGCUCACCCAGUGUUGGGGUUACAAGU
rnacentral:piRNA from 1 species